rnacentral:rRNA from 1 species
CGGGAAGAAACCCAGGUAUUUAUACUUGGCUGACGGUACCGUAAGAAUAAGCACCGGCUAACUCCGUGCCAGCAGCCGCGGUAAUACGGAGGGUGCAAGCGUUAUCCGGAUUUAUUGGGUUUAAAGGGUGCGCAGGCGGACUAGUAAGUCAGUGGUGAAAGCCCGGGGCUCAACCCCGGAACUGCCAUUGAUACUGCUUGUCUUGAGUAUAGUUGAGGUGGGCGGAAUGUGUCAUGUAGAGGUGAAAUUCAUAGAUAUGACACAGAACACCGAUUGCGAAGGCAGCUCGCUAAGCUAUUACUGACGCUCAGGCACGAAAGCGUGGGGAGCAAACAGGAUUAGAUACCCUGGUAGUCCACGCCCUAAACGAUGAUCACUCGAUGUUGGCAAUACAUCGUCAGCGUCCAAGCGAAAGCGUUAAGUGAUCCACCUGGGAAGUACGAUCGCAAGAUUGAAACUCAAAGGAAUUGACGGGGGCCCGCACAAGCGGAGGAGCAUGUGGUUUAAUUCGAUGAUACGCGAGGAACCUUACCUGGGCUUAAAUGCAGAACGACCGUCUGGGAAACCAGACUUUCUUCGGACGGACUGCAAGGUGCUGCAUGGUUGUCGUCAGCUCGUGCCGUGAGGUGUCGGGUUAAGUCCCAUAACGAGCGCAACCCCUAUUGUUAGUUGCCAGCGGGUAAUGCCGGGAACUCUAGCAAAACUGCCUACGCAAGUAGAGAGGAAGGUGGGGAUGACGUCAAAUCAUCACGGCCCUUACGUCCAGGGCUACACACGUGCUACAAUGGCCGGUACAAUGGGCAGCUACAUGGCAACAUGAUGCUAAUCCUCAAAACCGGUCUCAGUUCGGAUCGUGGUCUGCAACUCGACCACGUGAAGUCGGAUUCGCUAGUAAUCGCACAUCAGCCAUGGUGCGGUGAAUACGUUCCCGGGCCUUGUACACACCGCCCGUCAAGCCAUGGAAGCCGGGGGUACCUGAAGUCGAUAACCGCAAGGAGUCGCCUAGGGUAAAACUGGUAACUGGGGCU